rnacentral:rRNA from 1 species
AUUGAACGCUGGCGGAAUGCUUUACACAUGCAAGUCGAACGGCAGCACGGGGCAACCUGGUGGCGAGUGGCGAACGGGUGAGUAAUACAUCGGAAAGCGCCCAGUAGUGGGGGAUCACGUAGCGAAAGUUACGCUAAUACCGCAUACGACCUAAGGAUGAAAGCGGGGGAUCGCAAGACCUCGCGCGAUUGGAGCGGCCGAUGUCAGAGUAGAUCGUGGGUGGGGGAAAGGCCCACCAAGCCGACGAUCUGUAGCUGGUCUGAGAGUACGACCAGCCACACUGGGACUGAGACACGGCCCAGACUCCUACGGGAGGCAGGAGUGGGGAAUUUUGGACAAUGGGCGAAAGCCUGAUCCAGCCAUUCCGCGUGCAGGAUGAAGGCCUUCGGGUUGUAAACUGCUUUUGUACGGAGCGAAAAGGCUCUCUCUAAUACAGGGGGCUCAUGACGGUACCGUAAGAAUAAGCACCGGCUAACUACGUGCCAGCCGCCGCAGUAA